GAUAAACGCUGGCGGCGCACAUAAGACAUGCAAGUUGAACGGACUUAAUCGAAAUAUUUAUAUUUUGAAGCGGUUAGUGGCGGACUGGUGAGUAACGCGUAAGGAACCUGCCUAUUAGAGGGGAAUAACAGUGAGAAAUCAUUGCUAAUACCGCAUAUGCCAUAGAUAUCACAUGAUAACAGUGGGAAAGGAGCAAUCCGCUAAUAGAUGGCCUUGCGUCUGAUUAGAUAGUUGGUGGGGUAACGGCCUACCAAGUCGACGAUCAGUAGCCGGACUGAGAGGUUGAACGGCCACAUUGGGACUGAGGUCCGGCCCAGACUCCUACGGGAGGCAGCAGUCGGGAAUAUUGCGAAAUGGAGGAAACUCUGACGCAGUGACGCCGCGUAUAGGAAGAAGGUUUUCGGAUUGUAAACUCUUGUCGUUAGGGAAGAGAAAGGACAGUACCUAAGGAGGAAGCUCCGGCUAACUACGUG
rnacentral:rRNA from 1 species